GUGGAGGCAGCAGUGGGGAAUAUUGGACAAUGGGCGCAAGCCUGAUCCAGCCAUGCCGCGUGUGUGAAGAAGGCCUUCGGGUUGUAAAGCACUUUUGUACGGAAAGAAAUCGUUCGGGCUAAUACCCUGAGCGGAUGACGGUACCGUAAGAAUAAGCACCGGCUAACUUCGUGCCAGCAGCCGCGGUAAUACGAAGGGUGCAAGCGUUACUCGGAAUUACUGGGCGUAAAGCGUGCGUAGGCGGUUUGUUAAGUCAGAUGUGAAAUCCCCGGGCUCAACCUGGGAAUGGCAUUUGAUACUGGCGAGCUAGAGUACGGUAGAGGGUGGUGGAAUUCCCGGUGUAGCGGUGAAAUGCGUAGAGAUCGGGAGGAACAUCUGUGGCGAAGGCGGCCACCUGGACCAGUACUGACGCUGAGGCACGAAAGCGUGGGGAGCAAACAGGAUUAGAUACCCCGGUAGC
rnacentral:rRNA from 1 species